rnacentral:rRNA from 1 species
CGCCAGACUCCUACGGGAGGCAGCAGUGGGGAAUAUUGCACAAUGGGGGAAACCCUGAUGCAGCGACGCCGCGUGAGUGAAGAAGUAUUUCGGUAUGUAAAGCUCUAUCAGCAGGGAAGAAAAUGACGGUACCUGACUAAGAAGCCCCGGCUAACUACGUGCCAGCAGCCGCGGUAAUACGUAGGGGGCAAGCGUUAUCCGGAUUUACUGGGUGUAAAGGGAGCGUAGACGGUAGAGCAAGUCUGAAGUGAAAGCCCGCGGCUCAACUGCGGGACUGCCUUGGAACUGCGCGGCUGGAGUGCAGGAGGGGCAGGCGGAAUUCCUGGUGUAGCGGUGAAAUGCGUAGAUAUCAGGAGGAACACCGGUGGCGAAGGCGGCCUGCUGGACUGCGACUGACGUUGAGGCCCGAAAGCGUGGGGAGCAAACAGGAUUAGAUACCCGUGUAGAU